rnacentral:rRNA from 1 species
UAGCUGGUCUGAGAGGACGACCAGCCACACUGGAACUGAGACACGGUCCAGACUCCUACGGGAGGCAGCAGUGGGGAAUUUUGGACAAUGGGGGCAAGCCUGAUCCAGCAAUGCCGCGUGAGUGAAGAAGGCCUUCGGGUUGUAAAGCUCUUUUGUCAGGGAAGAAACGGUCGUGGCUAAUAUCCAUGGCUAAUGACGGUACCUGAAGAAUAAGCACCGGCUAACUACGUGCCAGCAGCCGCGGUAAUACGUAGGGUGCAAGCGUUAAUCGGAAUUACUGGGCGUAAAGCGUGCGCAGGCGGUUUUGUAAGUCUGAUGUG